CUGAAAACCUCAUCACUGAAGGAGCCGACCUCAAUAUUGGAAAUAAUUUUAAUGAGACAGCUCUGCAUUAUGCUGCUAAGAAAGGUCACAAGAGUGUCGCCGAACUUCUCAUCCGCAAAGGAGCCAAUCUUGAUAGUGAAACUAGAACGAAAGAGACACCUCUUCAUUGUGCUGCUUCCCAUGGUCACGGAGGUGUCGCUGAUGUGCUUCUCAAGAAUGGAGCUAACGCUAAUAUUGGAAAUAAUUUGAAUACCACAGCUCUUCAUUUAGCUGCUGAUUAUGGU